rnacentral:lncRNA from 1 species
AGGAACUGGGAGAGCCUUUGCCCCAUCUUGCCCCUUGAGCUGUAAAUGAUUACUUGUAAAUGAGCUGCUUGGGAGGACAAAAGGGCAACUGACUUACUGACCCACUCAAACAGAGUUAGCAAACACUUGCCUCCUGGGCCAUGCAUGGAGUCGUGAUUGCCCUGAGAAAAUGGACCAAUCCUGCUUGUCUGAAGACAAGCAUGUUUGAGUCAGUGGUCUCCCCCAUCAUGUAAAUCCACUUGUCAGAUGAGCCUUGCUGCCUCUGGAGAUUUGGAGUAGGGAAACAGCUUUGUGCAUCACUACCACAGGAAACUGGAAGUCCACCAAACCCAGCAUGCUGUGGGAGGAGCAGAUCUGCAAUAUGAAAAGGACAGCAUCUGUGCUCCCAGUGCUCAGCUAGGAGGUAACAGCGAUGAGUCUGCGGUUAUUGACGAACCUCAAAAUCUCCUUACGGUCUUGGUGCUCGAUGUUAGCAGCUCCCAGUCAAGGCCUUUCAGGUUAGUAGACAACUGCCUUUAGUGUUGCUAAGUCGCCCUAACCUGCAGAGAGUGCACAGCCCUUCACAAGCCACCCACCUCUUUCUGACGUGUUUGACACCUUCUGGGUGAGGAGCAGCCUGUUACUCAGUUUCCUGGAGUCAAAUGAAAAAAAAUACUAAGCAUGCUAUUUUCUAUCAAAAAGGCUCAAAUAUUAUGCUGGCAAUUACAGAGAAG